AAACGGUCUCAAUAGCGGUCAGCUGUCCGCAACUCAUGGGGAAAUGGCAAAUGAGAAAACCAAAGGUGCAUUGGGUAAAGCAAACGUUAUCAGUGUUGUUUCCCAAACUAUCAGAGCCAUUAACACCACCACUACAGUAAGUCAUAAUAAAGAUAUAGAAGGAAACAAAAGCAAAAGGACGGUAACACUCGUCCCUCUCCCUAAGUAGAUCCGAACACUUCGCAGAACAACAACACUUUUCUCAGUAGGGAAAACUAAGCACGAAACCAGAAGGAAAUCAUCCAUCUAACGACGAUGAAGAAAAACGAAUCUUAAACCGGAAAUAAACAAGAUCACCUAGUCUUCAUCUAUGGUCAGUGGUGAAACGCGUCCAGUUGAGAUCAAAUCAAAAAUCAAAAACGUGAAUUGGAAAACGAAACUCACCAGCCAAAACAAAGCAGGCUCUUGGUUCUCAGAGUUUUAAUCGAAUUGGCCACUGAGACCAAAGGAGUAUCGGGGUUGGAAGUGCUUGCGGUGCUGCCAGUUUGUCUACCCUGUUUUGGUGUUUUGUUCUGUAAAGAUAAGUUGUACCUUGUAGUUUCCCUUGUAAAAUAUUUGCUUGGUUUUUGUUGCUGCGUAUUUUCACUGCCGGUACUUGUGGUAUUUCCUGAAGCACUCAAUGAAAGAAAACCAAACUUCGAGCAAUCGGAUGAUAGAGGCAAUGGAAUCAUUGUUUUAGAUCAGUACCUAUCAAAGAAAACAUCUUUGCUGAUGGGGCAUUAGUUAAAGCUCCAGCAGGUACCAAACUAUGAGGAUCAAACAUGUAAAAGUAGCCACCAGAUACAAUUGAGAGAAGGUCGCAUUCUGAAUAGAAACAAACCAAUCCCAAACCAUAAUUAAUCGUGUUGUCGCGUAAUCUCCAUGGAGGAAGGAGCUGGAGACUACUGAAUUCCUCUCGACUCAAGCAAGCACCUUUAAAAAUUGCUACAAGAACAGGCUCUUGGAAUUCACCUAAAUUAUGAUGAAGCAAAGACUGGCGAGGAUGUUUCCCUCUUAUCAUAAACUAGAUGUAACUUCUUGGCUUUGCAGCAAUCUGCCAACUCAAGAAGGUCAAACAACAAAACUUCAUUGUUUCUAUACAAAGCCAAAAGUUCACUUAUUUUAUUGUAGUCCAUGCACGACAGAUUUUUAGUCAUAUCUUCACUGACUAAAGAGAGGCAAUAAACUGACUGUACUCCCAGCCUUUCUGCCAAAUCAUUAUUGAUACAUGGAUGCACAAAAUGUCUCCCAACAAGAGAAAUAUUUUCCAGCCAAGGUGCAUCGUUGUAUACAACAACUCCUGAAUGUAUAAGAACUCCAAAAGCAUCAGGAAUCAACAAGGGACUGUAAAAAAAGAUCAAAAUGUGACUUCUGCGAGCAACAUUCUUGUAUAGCUUCAAGAGCACAGCAGACAAAAUUUAACUGAUCUUUUGAAAUAGGAACUCCAUGCACAUCAUUCUGCAACUUCUGUAGCAUAUGAAGAUAGUCUGGAAUACCAAAACUCAAUUUGACUCCUAACUUUAUCAUCAAUCUUUAUACUCUUGCUUUCAAUUCAAUGAAGUCAUCAGUAUUAAUAUAUUCUUGCAAUUUUGAACAAAGGAAGGGUAUUUCUUUUUGCAAGUGAGCAUCAAAAUCAGAAUCCAGUAAUCAAUCUGUCUUCAGCUGUGUAUAGGACUUAGAUAGCUCAAUUAAUUGUUUUGGAUAAACAUUUACAUUUGGGUAAUCCAUCCGCCCAAGUUUUGUUUGUAGAUAUGUCUCAUUAGAAUCAAAUUUUGUGACAAAUUGAUUUGAACAUGAAUAUGUUCUCUUCCUCUGUGGUGGUAAGGGUCUGCUGUGAUUGUUGGACUAACUGCUGCUGCAGUAGGUGCAGUAGUGGCAGGUGGUGUUGCUGCAAGUAAAACCAUGGCUACCGAUGCUCCUCAAGCUACAAAUAAACUUGGUGAAGACCUUUACAAAGUAAUAUCGCGAAUAGAAUCCUUCAAGUCAACAACGGUGGGAUCAAUACUGAAAUCAUACCGAUGGGCGCCUUUGUUCCAGUUGAAAAAAAACAGUGCUAUGUUGGCCGUUCUUCUGUUGUAAGCCAAAAAAUCAGAGACACAAAAGCACACACUCCAAGUAUCAUGAGAGUCAUGUCUUGGAAUGCUUCCCAAACAAAAACCCAGAAGCUUUUAGCUUGACUUUCAGUGGAUUUAUAGAUUCCAUACAUCUGUUGUUUCUUUAUCCGGUAGAUCAAUCUCAAUAUUAAUCCUAUCGAUGUUGGAUGUACAAAGCUUGUCUGCAAUGCCAUCAAUCUUACCAUGAUAUUUCAACUCCUUUACAUCAUGUCCUCCAACAAUAGACCCCAAUUCAUCGCCACAGAUUUGAAGUCAUACAUCUUCAACAUAACCGGCACUUUGUAAUCACUUGGUUUCGCGCCUUGGAUAAAAUGAAAUGUUGCUUUGGAAACAAAAAUUGCAACCUAAUGUGAACCACAUGCUAAAUCUCCUUUUGAUUUUUGAUUUUUGGGUAUUGACUGUUGUGUGGUUUGGUUUGAUUUUAGAAGGGCUUUGGUUGCGUUUGAUGCAAGGCUAUGAUAGUCGCGUGAUGACACUUGCCGUUGGCGAUGAUACUUGCAGAGUUUUGGAUUUGCUGCGGGAUUGAUCUAGUAUUUAUCAUUAAGCCUCUGAAGAUUAUAGUGUUUAUCAUCUUUCAAUUCCUGAACGGCUCCAACAUUUCGAAGAAACGUAAUAAAAGAAGCAGCAGCGUCUUCAGGAGACUUGAGUCGAGCUACAAUGUCGGCCCUGCGUUCAACCAUAUCCUGAGGCACGUCUUCAGUUUGGUAGAGUGUCUUGUGAAAACGCCUCUAAAUCUUCAAGUGAUAGUUACAUAUAUGGUAAAGGCCACUCAGAAAACUCUGAAGUAGUUGACUCACCACAUAUAGGACUCACUAUACUGUAUGACUGUAUUACCUCGGGAACAUCAAUUCUAUCACAAGUUACAGUAUCUAUAUCAACAUUGAGAAGUUGCGUAGGAUGAGUUGACAUAUUCAAAGAAUUGUCAAUGUCAAUCACUUGAUUCAUGACAAUUUGAAGAUCUUAAAAAUAAAUGUCGUCACAUUGUGUAAUGUCUGAACUUACAAUAGGACUCUGUCUUUCCAAAGAAACUAUAUCAUGGUUAACAGUACUGCAAAUGUUAUUUAAAUUGGGGACUUUAUUCCGGCGCUCGCACGAUGAAACUUCAGCUUCUACCAAGUUUACCAAAUUUAUUCUCUCAUCUGGAAUAAAUCCUACGAAAGUAGCAUCUGCUUCCCAUUCCACAGGAAAACUACCAGGGUUCUUUUGAGAUGUAGCAAUUUAAUGAGCCAUGUAAGGUUCUUUAUGUAAGUCUUCUGUAGAAAUCUGGUUUUGUGAAAAAAGCAUGGUUGUGGGUGAUUUUCUUGGAAGAUCAGCUUCAUUUGUGGGAGAUUUCACAAGAUUUAAAACACGAGGAUGCUGAAAACUAUUUUGGUUUCUCCUCCUCUACCAAAUCUUUCAGCUAAGGUGUCAAGGAGCCUGAACCAAUAUGUGUAUUAUUUUUCUCAACAAAAAAUUCAUUUUAUAAACAGCUUGGAAAAUCUUUCUCAUGCUUCUGCAGUUCAUUGUAAGCAAAGUUGGCAUCUUCCUCCUUGUAAUUAAAACUCAGGUGUGAGUUUUGUAAAUUAUGUAUGUUUUGGACAAUCUUAUGGUUUGCAAUGAAUAUGACAUAUGACAUGAAUGAGAAUUGGUGUUUCUUGUAGCAAGACAAAGAUCUCUCUUUGUAUCUUAGAAACUCCAUGUAUUCAUGUGAUGAGAUGAUUUUUGAUUAUAAGUUAUUCAUAUGCCAUGUACAUGGAUGAUUAUGAUUGAAUGAAUGAACGAAGUAAUCGAAGUAUGAAUGAGUAUGUGGAAAUUCUUGAAUAUGAAUGGAAAACUUUCCAAUGUAAUGAAGAAAUAUGAAUGAAAAUUUUGAAUAUGAAAUGUAGAAUUUUGAAGGUGAAAA